CUGAAUGUGCCUCAGGGACGCGCGCGCGCUGCAGUCCCGGCAGUUUAGUGGUGAGAAGAUAGUAUUUCGCGGUGCCCUUUGUCGACCCUGCUCUGCGGGGCGGGGAAGGUCUGGGCCGCCGAGAGGCGUGUUCGAGCUACCACAACUCCUUGCUCUGAGAGGGUGGGACGGGGAGGUGUGCUGCCCGGUGAUGUUGGUGAGGGGAGAGAGGGACUGCUGCAACUCUGGGGAAAACAAGUCGGCUCUUCCGUGGAGCUCGGGAGACAUUUAUUACAAGACUGUUUCUCAUGGAAUAAGAACAUGUAGUUUCAUGGUGCAAGGCUGCCUGAUGUUUCCCAGGUUUGAGUGGCCCUGGUAGAAAAAGGAAAAUUCGACAAGGUCAGGAGAGAGAAGAACAUAUUUAUCCUAAAAUAAGAAUGAUGACCGUGUCCCACGUGUACAGAAGGGGAAGAAGAGCUGAGACAUGAAGCAACAAUAAAUGGAGUUUUCUAAGCCUGCUGUAACAUAAUGAAAACCAAAUAGUUCUGGAUGAAAAUGAGAGAAGUUAUCCGUGUAGUGAAAACUGUUUACAUUGGUGAGUUUUUUCCCAACCUUUUUUUUUUUUCUGACUGUUGCCUUUAAUAAGAAAAUCAUCAUGACUGAGAACAUACACAUAUUUGAGAUAUAUAUAUAUGAAUAGAUAUAACUGAAAAAAGGUCUUUGUGAAGCAACAUGUGUGUUUAUUAUUUGAAAUGAAUUUGAAUCUCUUCCAGUCUGCGUUUUUUCAUUAAUUUUUUCUCUAGACCACUAAUGUGUUGCCAGCUGCAGUAUGAAUAACACUUUUUGGUGAUAUGUUCUUCCCAAGGAAGUGGUUUAUAGAUUUCACUGCCUGCAUGUUAUUGCUUGUACUCAUGGAGAUGUUUUUGCAUGGCAGAAAUAAAGUGGAAGAUUGAUCUUCGCCUCCCCAGGAGGAAUGAAAGGCUGUGAAAGGGAGAUGAUCCCAGCUAAUCACCUUGGCUCAAUGUAGCUUGGACUGUGGGUGCUGUACAUGCCUGUUACUCAAUUUUAUGUUGGUCAGGUUAGGACAAAUGUGUUCCAGUGUCUUCUUGGAAGAUCCUGAAACUGAAACCAGGUUGGGUUACAUCUUUAAGGGAAAAAGAAGUAUCUCUGGGACACUCCAGGGAGAAGAGACAGCUCAAGGAUGUUUUUGUUGGUGGAGGAGAAAGGAGGUGGGAAAGGGAGAGUGAAGUUAACUCUUUCAAACAGUGGUGAGGCCAGGGCUGUUGGCACAGAUGCUCUUCAGAGACUAGUUGUCAGCUUUGUUACACGUCGUUGUAAUGGAUGCUGUUGGUGCCCACCCACAUCCCUUUUAAGGACCCCAGUGCCAUCCCUCAGCAGCUAUGAGUGUUGCCUGUCCAUCCCUGCCUCUUUCUCUGGAGAUUUGCCCUUGGCAGAAUGGGAGUCUCUUCAUUUGGGAGGUUUCAUUGCCUCACUCCCCAAGUGGCUAUGGCCAGUGAUAGAUUGACAUGGGAUCCAAAAGACUGGCCCUUUUGCCUUCAAGGUGGUACUGUCCUCUGGUACAAUUUGUACUCCAGAAUUCCCUCCCUGUGGGAUCAGGUUGAAGCUGAAUUCCCAAUGAAAGCCUAUGAUUACUUCACUCCUUCCCCUGCCCCAUCCUGCUUCCAUCAUUCCUCUUCUCUCGCCCAUAAGAAAUCACAUGCCUAAGAAUUCUCAUCUCAGGUUCCAGUUCUAGGGAAUCUAACCUAAGACAGUUACUUCUGUGUUGUAACUUCCUCAUCUAGUAAUUUUAUCAUUACUUAAUAUUAUGUUCUUAUUACUACAAACUGAAGCCUUGUAUUUCAUUUCAGAAAUUAGGGAAGCUGACCCAGGCCAUGCUUUGGGUGAAGCAAUACAAAGGGGUGAUGCAGGAAUGCAAGGGAAGUGAAUCCUGGGUGUGGACAGUGACCAGCAGCAGGGUCAUGAGUGGCCCCAUGGGUGGAGGAGAGGAGUGCUUCCAAUCAGGAGAGGACUGACUCAGCUGGAAACAACCAAGGCAAUUCCUAGAAAAUGUAAACUUUCCCUUUUAUUUGUGGAGAGGAGUCAAGCAAAGCCUGGACCUACUGACAAAUCUGAUGGGACUUAACACUGUUGGAAUUUAGGGACCAGGAAUGAAUUGAUCUCAUCUUGUCUGUAUAGGCUCUUGGCAUAGUCUCAUUUCCAAGUGCUACUGUAGCAAAUGACCACAAACUUAGUGACUUAAAACAAAUUUAUUAUAAUUGUGGAGGUCAGAAGUCUGAAAUGGGUUUGCAGGACUGCAUACCUUCUGAAUGUUCUAGCAGAUAAUCUGUUUCCUUGCCUUUUCUGACUUCUAGAGGCCACCUGCAAUUCCUUGGCUCAUGGCCUUCCUCUUUCUUCAAAGCCAGCAGUGUAGCAUCCUCACAUCUCUGUCUGUCUGUCUGUCUCUCUGUUCCUCAGCUUCUGCUAUCAAAUCACCUAACUCCUCUUGCGUCCCUUUUAUAAGUACUCUUGUGAAAACAUUGGGCAUACCCAGAUCAUCCAGGAUAAUCUCUCCAUCUCAAGAUCCUUAAUUUUUUUUUUCUUUUUGGCUGCAUGCACGGCAUGUGGACGUUCUGGGGCUAGGGAUCGAACCCACACCACAGCAGUAACCAAAGCCACAGCAGUGGCAAUGCCAGAUGUUUAACCCACUGAGCCACCAGGAAACUCCUCAAGAUCCUUAAUUUAAUAACAUCUAAAAAAAAAAAAAA
rnacentral:lncRNA from 1 species